rnacentral:rRNA from 1 species
GUAGGUGGCAAGCGUUGUCCGGAAUUAUUGGGCGUAAAGCGCGCGCAGGCGGUUCUUUAAGUCUGAUGUGAAAGCCCACGGCUCAACCGUGGAGGGUCAUUGGAAACUGGAGAACUUGAGUACAGAAGAGGAAAGCGGAAUUCCACGUGUAGCGGUGAAAUGCGUAGAGAUGUGGAGGAACACCAGUGGCGAAGGCGGCGUUCUGGUCUGUAACUGACGCUGAGGCGCGAAAGCGUGGGGAGCAAACAGGAUUAGAUACCCUGGUAGUCCACGCCGUAAACGAUGAGUGCUAAGUGUUAGGGGGUUUUCCGCCCCCCUUAGUGCUGCAGCUAACGCAUUAAGCACUCCGCCUGGGAGUACGGCCGCAAGGCUG